rnacentral:rRNA from 1 species
CCUACGGGAGGCAGCAGUAGGGAAUAUUGCGCAAUGGGGGAAACCCUGACGCAGCGACGCCGCGUGAGUGAUGAAGGCCUUCGGGUCGUAAAGCUCUGUUGUACGGGAAGAAGUUUGCAGUGCUAAUACCAUUGCAAGUUGACGGUACCGUAUAAGAAAGGAUCGGCUAACUUCGUGCCAGCAGCCGCGGUAAGACGAGGGAUCCUAGCGUUGUUCGGAAUCACUGGGCGUAAAGCGUUUGUAGGCGGCUCUAUAAGUCGGGUGUGAAAUCCCACGGCUCAACCGUGGAAGUGCAUUCGAAACUGCAGAGCUUGAAUAUGGUAGAGGAGAGUAGAAUUCCUGGUGUAGUGGUGAAAUACGUAGAUAUCAGGAGGAAUACCGGUGGCGAAGGCGGCUCUCUGGACCAAUAUUGACGCUGAGAAACGAAAGUGCGGGGAUCA